rnacentral:lncRNA from 1 species
ACCUAUAAAUAUAGAAUCUGACCUAUUUAUAAUACAAUAUUUUUUUAUGAUUGUACUACGAAUCCUAUAACAUUUUGAGUUUAACCAUCCAAAUAAAUCUUUAAGUAAUUUUUCUUAAUAAGGCAGCUUAAUACCACUCCUAUAGCCACAUCAAUUUAGUGAGAGCUGCAAGAUAUUCACAAUGAUGUUUAUUUUUAGUGGUGACAUUUAAAUCUUGUAUCAAAGAAGUUUGCAAGAUCCGAGAGAAAGAAGGAGGGAGGGAGACCAUGUUAGAUUUUCUUAAGGACACAUAGCUUGCUUGUACGCUCCCGUACAGUACUUUGGUCCACCCAUCUACUACUGGUCCGGAACCCAUCAUGAUGACCAAUUUUCUUUCCUAUCAAUUUCCCUUUUUGCUGUAGAGAUAAAUAUAGACAAAAAAGAGAGCACAGCAUCAAAUAUGAGAAAUACUCAUGCAUAGCAUCGAAACACAAAAUCUUUCGGUUGACACAUGCGAACCAAAUUGUUCUACAUGCUAUAAUGUAAAGGUGCACCAUUGCAUGUUUUGGAAAGUAGGUGCUUUAAGUACUUCUUAUAAAAUAAUUUUCUAAAUAAUCUAUAAUUUUGCAUCA